UGCAAGUCGAACGGCAGCACGGGAGCAAUCCUGGUGGCGAGUGGCGAACGGGUUAGUAAUACAUCGGAACGUGCCCAAUCGUGGGGGAUAACGCAGCGAAAGCUGUGCUAAUACCGCAUAAGAUCUACGGAUGAAAGCAGGGGAUCGCAAGACCUUGCGCGAAUGGAGCGGCCGAUGGCAGAUUAGGUAGUUGGUGAGGUAAAGGCUCACCAAGCCUUCGAUCUGUAGCUGGUCUGAGAGGACGACCAGCCACACUGGGACUGAGACACGGCCCAGACUCCUACGGGAGGCAGCAGUGGGGAAUUUUGGACAAUGGGCGAAAGCCUGAUCCAGCCAUGCCGCGUGCAGGAUGAAGGCCUUCGGGUUGUAAACUGCUUUUGUACGGAACGAAAAGUCUCUUUCUAAUAAAGAGGGAUCAUGACGGUACCGUAAGAAUAAGCACCGGCUAACUACGUGCCAGCAGCCGCGGUAAUACGUAGGGUGCAAGCGUUAAUCGGAAUUACUGGGCGUAAAGCGUGCGCAGGCGGUUAUGUAAGACAGUUGUGAAAUCCCCGGGCUCAACCUGGGAACUGCAUCUGUGACUGCAUAGCUAGAGUACGGUAGAGGGGGAUGGAAUUCCGCGUGUAGCAGUGAAAUGCGUAGAUAUGCGGAGGAACACCGAUGGCGAAGGCAAUCCCCUGGACCUGUACUGACGCUCAUGCACGAAAGCGUGGGGAGCAAACAGGAUUAGAUACCCUGGUAGUCCACGCCCUAAACGAUGUCAACUGGUUGUUGGGUCUUCACUGACUCAGUAACGAAGCUAACGCGUGAAGUUGACCGCCUGGGGAGUACGGCCGCAAGGUUGAAACUCAAAGAAUUGACGGGGACCCGCACAAGCGGUGGAUGAUGUGGUUUUAUUCGAUGCAAA
rnacentral:rRNA from 1 species